rnacentral:lncRNA from 1 species
ACUUCAAUCGUUCGCCCGUCGAAAUCCGGGUGGCACCCUCCGACUGAAAACAGAGAAGGCUGUUUGGUUUUUCCCCAACUUCGCACCCAACGUUUAACCUUGGGGAAAGGAGGGAAAUCGGGGGGGGGGGGGGGGGAAAAAAAAAUCCGCGCUAGUCUCGAUCAUCCCCCUGCUGUCCAUUUUCUUCACUCGGCUCGGAAGGAGUUAAAAGCCAACACCCAAUUUUUUUUUCUUCCACCGCCCCCCCCUCCAAAAAAAGCCCCCAAGUUUGCUCUUUGGAGGGGCCGUUGUUUUUGCAGAGGGAGGCACCGUCGGUCGACCUGCCCCCCCCCCCGCUCCCCUCCGCAAAACGCAGCCGCCCAAAAGCCCCCCCCCCGGGGGUCGUUUCCUCCCCUCCGAUGUGGGGGUGCAGGGGCGGCUUUGCAGCCGAAAGGAACAAAGUGUCCCCCCCCCUUUUUUGGCAGCCCCCUCCCUUGGGGCGGCUCCAUCUCCUACCUGCAGGACCUGCUUCGCCGCCCCCCCCCCCAGUCUGCAGUGUCCGCCUGCCACCGCAGCCCCCUCAACUUUACCUUUCUGGGGGGGGGGGGUCGCCCCCCAUCAUCCGCACUGCCUCCCCCCAACCGUGCUGGGGAGGGACCGGACCCGAGCGACGGAGCCGCCCCCCCCGCCUCCACCCGCAGCUCAAGGACGUUUUGUUUUUCGUCCCAAGGACAAAGGACCAUCCAAGGUGCGGGGGGACUUACCCGCUCCCGAGAAGAAGGCGGCGGCGGGUCCGGGAGCCCCAAGCGAAGCGGCGGCUCCGGACGGUUCCCUCCCGCGGGCAGGCCCGGCUCCGGCGGCCCCCGCCCCUGCGGCCGAGCGGGUCCGGCGGGGCGCCGGGCUGACAGGUCGGGGGCCGCCGCCGCCGCUGCUGCUGCCUCUCCGGCCAUCUUGCGCCGUGUGUGUGAGGGCUGUCUCUCGCCCGUCUCCUCGCUCAGCAUUCCUCCCUCCUCCUCCUUCCCCCCCGCCCCCCGGCCUCCCCCCCUCCCCACACACCACAAAACAUGGCCCCUUCGCUGCGGUGGAAGAGGCUGCAGCGACAGCGGGAGCUGCUCCUCCGCCGCCGCCGCCGCCUCCCCGCCCCCUCCGCCAUCGGCCUCCUCUUCUCCCCUCUCCCCUCCCUCACGCAGCCCCACUCGCCCCCCAACUGACGCACCGGCGCGCGCCUGCGCCGCACGCGCCGCUCCCCAUUGGCUCGGCCCCCUCGCGCCCCGCCCGGCCCCUCCGCCAAUCCCCUCCCCGCUGCGGCCGCGCGGGAGCCCCCCCCUCCCUCCCCCGCUCCCCCCGCCCGCCCCGCCUCUGCUCUGA